UACGUAGGCAGCGAGCGUUGUUCGGAAUUACUGGGCGUAAAGAGUGUGUAGGCGGUGCUCCCAGUCUGUUGUGAAAUCUCCCGGCUUAACUGGGAGGGUGCAGCGGAAACUAGAAUGCUAGAGGGUGGGAGAGGUAAGCGGAAUUCCUGGUGUAGCGGUGAAAUGCGUAGAUAUCAGGAGGAACACCUGUGGUGUAGACAGCUUACUGGACCACUUCUGACGCUGAGACACGAAAGCGUGGGUAGCAAACAGG
rnacentral:rRNA from 1 species